CAUUAAAUGCAAAUUUUAUGCUGCUAAUUGACAGGCGCAACACUGAAUAUAGCAGGAUUGCAUUAAUUGCAAGCUGAAUAGCAGCUGCUACCAUACAAAGUGCAGGGGGGCGCAAAGCUGGAAAUAGCCGAACUUCAUUAAUUGCAAGUUGACUAGCAGAAUACAUGAAGUACAGCAAGGAGACUUAGUCAUAUGGGCUGCAUAGCCAAUAGGGCGCAUAAUUAAGUUAGAUUUAAGUAGAUUUAAAUUUGAAUUUUAGGCGCAAGCGCCGUCAGAUAUGUUCGCUGCACAUAUACAUAUAU
rnacentral:sRNA from 1 species